AGGCCCAAACUUUACCGAUAUAAAAAGGAUUGGGAACACUUCAUACAUAUUAAGGAGAGACAUAUUCGUGUGCCCAAACACACCAGAAUAUCGCCAAAGUCGUUGAAACUUGAAAGAAGAAACAGACUUGUCUGUCACACUGCUCAGCCGCCGGAACAAUAAGGAGGAUGGAUUUGGUGUGGUUAAUAAGUGUUCUACUUCUUGGAGCUGCACUUGGAUUUUACAUCAGCACUUUACGACAAACCCGCCAAAUCUUUGCCCUCUCCAAAUCUGUCGCCAUAAAUGCAGGAUCCAGCGGAAAUAAGAAGACCAAGUCCAAGGAACCCCUCGAGAUAGAGAAACUCGCUGAUCUUCGCAAAAAUUUCAAAAUGGUUUUGGUUGUGAGGAAUGAUCUUAAAAUGGGUAAAGGGAAGAUUGCAGCUCAAUGCAGUCAUGCAACUUUAGGUUUAUACAAGAAACUCCUUCAACGGGCGCCAAGAGCCUUGAACAGAUGGGAAUAUUGUGCUCAGCCAAAAGUUGUUGUCAAAAUCGAAAGUGAGGAAGAGAUGCUAGUUUUGCAAGUGAGUUUACUGAACAUGUGCUACAGAAAUAUACUUUCCCUUUGCAAGAUUGCAGUUUCUUUGUUAUUGAAUCUGUGUUUUAAGUUACAAAACAGAAGAAAAAAAGUCAUAAGAUCCUAUGUGAAGAUUGUAACAAUGUUGUUGAUACCUACAGGAAAGAGCAAAGACCCUUAAACUGCCAACCCAUAUCACCAUUGAUGCCGGAAAAACACAGAUCGCUCCAAAUUCAAGAACAGUAAUGGCUAUUCUUGGACCGGUUGAUAAUGUUGAUGAAGUAACAGGUGGACUAAAGCUUAUGUAAUAACUCUAGGAUUCGACAUUACCACACUCUGGCAGAAGGAAGAGGAUGCUAAUUGGCUCCGAAUUUUUCAACAUUUCUCGGUGACAAAUCUGCCUCCCCAUCUUCGGAGUAGAUAACUCAAUUUUGCAUGGAUUUGUACAAUUGUCUUACUAGAAAAUAAUCAUAUGACAACAUUUGCUGAUUAUCCCAUAAAUUUUAAAGAUGAAGAGUCAGUUUUGAUGCUUUCUUUUGUUUUAUUGAGAGACCUUUAUCUAUGAACUAAAGCGGUUUAAGCGACGGAUGAUUCUGACU